GCCGCAGGAAGCGCCGGAGCCGCUUCCGCCGCGGCGGCACCAUGAGCCUGGAGGCAAUCCGCUACCGGCGCGGCUCGCUCGCCGUGCUCAACCAGCGGCUGCUGCCCGCGGAGCUGCGCUACGAGGCCGUGGGCAGCGUGGAGCGCGCCUGGGAGGCCAUCCGCGCCAUGGAGGUGCGGGGCGCCCCGGCCAUCGCGCUCGUGGGCUGCCUCAGCCCGGCCGUGGAGCU